GGUAUCUUAGCUCAGUUGGUAGAGCAAUGGACUGAAAAUCCAUGUGUCCCUGGUUCGAUUCCUGGAGAUACCA
rnacentral:tRNA from 3 species